rnacentral:tRNA from 1 species
GGAUUAUGGCUCAGCGGUAGAGCAUCCGCCUCACACAUGCAAGGCCCUGGGUUAGAUCCUCAGCACCA